CCUACGGGAGACAGCAGUGGGGAAUAUUGCACAAUGGGCGAAAGCCUGAUGCAGCAACGCCGCGUGAAGGAAGAAGGGUUUCGGCGCGUAAACUUUUUUCAACAGGGACAAAAGAAGUAACGGUACUGGUAUAAUAAGCCCCGCCUAACUACGAGCCAGCAGCCGCGGGAAUACGGAGGGGGCAAGCGUUAUCCGGAAUUACUGGGUGUAAAGGGUGAGUAGGCGGCAUGGUAAGCCAGAUGUGAAAGCCUUGGGCUUAACCCGAGGAUUGCAUUUGGAACUAUCAAGCUAGAGUACAGGAGAGGAAAGCGGAAUUCCUAGUGUAGCGGUGAAAUGCGUAGAUAUUAGGAAGAACACCAGUGGCGAAGGCGGCUUUCUGGACUGAAACUGACGCUGAGGCACGAAAGCGUGGGGAGCGAACAGGAUUAGAUACCCGAGUAGUC
rnacentral:rRNA from 1 species